CUCAGUGUAAAUUCUCCCGGAGUCUGUCAGCUAUGUUUGAACUCAGUCCAGCAGGGCUGCCUUUACUUUUUUUUUUCCCUACCAGGAAGAAUGCUCCAUUACAUUGUGCUUUGCCUCUCUCUCUCUCUCUCUCUCUCUCUCUCUCUCUCUCUCUCUCUCUCAGAAGAUCAGUAACAAUGUUAUUUUCUGAUCAGUUCAGUAAUACAAUGCCCUCUGAUGUUCACACCAGCAUCUCACUGGAGAAGAAAAGAAUGUUGUUGGCUACCUGGGACCAGAAGACUUCUUAGGUCAGUAGAAGCUAAUCAAGUACUCUCAAGGCUUCCAGAGUCAGGAGUCGUCUUUUCUUAGUAGUUCAGGGAACUGACAGCAAUUUAAUUGUCUUUUCAACUGGUGGGUGUUCAUAUACCAAUAUUUUUUUUCCCACGCGAACUAUGGUUUUCUUAUGCUAGAGUGAUUUUCCAAAAACAGGGAAAGAUAUAUCUUUGGAUUAAUUUGCAUUUGAAAGAAACUUUUUUUUUUUGGUACAGGAGUUUUCUCUUUCUUCUUUCUCUUUCUUCUCUACUGCAAAUUAUAUGUUUUUCAAGUAAAUAUUGUGGUGAACCGAUGUAGCAGU
rnacentral:lncRNA from 1 species